rnacentral:rRNA from 1 species
GACGAACGCUGGCGGCGUGCUUAACACAUGCAAGUCGAACGAAGAGCGAUGGAAGCUUGCUUCUCUCAAUCUUAGUGGCGAACGGGUGAGUAACGCGUAAUCAACCUGCCCUUCAGAGGGGGACAACAGUUGGAAACGACUGCUAAUACCGCAUACGAUCUAAUCUCGGCAUCGAGGAUAGAUGAAAGGUGGCCUCUACAUGUAAGCUAUCACUGAAGGAGGGGAUUGCGUCUGAUUAGCUAGUUGGAGGGGUAACGGCCCACCAAGGCGAUGAUCAGUAGCCGGGCUGAGAGGAUGAACGGCCACAUUGGGACUGAGACACGGCCCAGACGCCUACGGGAGGCAGCAGUGGGGAAUCUUCCGCAAUGGACGAAAGUCUGACGGAGCAACGCCGCGGGAGUGAUGACGGCCGUCGGGUUGUAAAGCUCUGUUAAUCGGGACGAAAGGCCUUCUUGCGAAUAGUGAGAAGGAUUGACGGUACCGGAAUAGAAAGCCACGGCUAACUACGUG